rnacentral:rRNA from 1 species
UAGUCAUAUGCUUGUCUUAAGGAUUAAGCCAUGCAUGUCUCAGUACAAGCGAUCUUGUACCGUGAAACUGCGAAUGGCUCAUUACAACAGUUAUAGUUUAUUUGAUCGUGCGGAGCUACGUGGAUAACCGUAGGAAUUCUAGAGGUAAUACAUGCACCGUCGCCGAAGAUCUAACCAUAGACUUUGGCGGGAUUUAUUAGAUCAAAAACCAAUCGCUUCCUGUUUUUUUUUACAGUAAGCGUGGCGGGAUGAAUCAUAAUAACUUAACCGAAUCACAUGGCCGUGAUUUUGGCCGGUGAUAAAUCAUUCAAAUUUCUGCCCUAUCAACUUUUGAUGGUAGGGUAGUGGCCUACCCUGGUGUUGACGGGUAACGGAGAAUUAGGGUUCGAUUCCGGAGAGGGAGCCUGAGAAACGGCUACCACAUCCAAGGAAGGCAGCAGCCGCACAAAUUACCCAAUCCUG